CAGGCUCUGGGAGCCUGACUCACACUAGUAAAAUGAGCCAGGACCAAUGGCUACAUCAGCUUAUUCAGUGAUCCUGAGAAGGAUAUGGGCUGAGCAGGAGGAUUCUGAGGUCAGCUGGUGAGUAGGCUCUCCUUCAGGAAUUAGUGGUAAUAAAAACAGUCACCAGAUACUGAGCACCUACCAAAUGUCUAGGCGCUGUGCUGGGACUUUCAUUCCUCCAGCAAAUAGUCAGUAAUUGAAGUCGGGUACCAUUCCAAGCCCUGGAGAUAGAGCAAUGAACACAUACACAGGGACGCUGCCCUCUUGGCGAUGGGCAUCUGUCAUCGCAGCUAGUCCCUGACUGAGGACAUUGAGGUCCAGAAACUUGCUAAAGGCACUCACUGGUAAAUGGUUGAGCCAGGAUUUGAACCCAGGCCUCCCCCCAGGAACUGUCGUCUUUGGAAAGUCCAGGAGGAUCAGGGAGUAUCGUGGGAAGCACAAAACCCAACUCAGGGAGAGAGGACCUGGGAGAAGGAGGCGCUGAUCUCGGGGGGGAGGGGACACGGGGCUCCCAUCUGUAUUCCAGCUGCCUGCGGUGACUAAAACAUAGGGUCAGGGGCCCACGGUGACACAACCAGGGGAGGAUGCUCUGUGAAACGGUGCUCCUGGCUUUUGCUCGUUUGUAAUUUCCUUCUUGACGUAAAAUUUGUGAGUCAUGGUCUCAGAACUUGUCUAGUUUCACAAUCCACAGAGAUGAUUGCAGACACUGUCGUGACUCCUGCCGGCACAUUCAUUUUUCCCUCCCGGUUUGGGACAUCGGGGAUUUAUUUUGGAAGGUCGGUGGAAGCCAGGCAGGGAAAGGUAAGCACAAGACCUCGUGUGCCACUCAAGGGGAGUGUCGUGCCAAGGCUCCGGGAAUGCUGAACAGCUGGCCAGAGCUCCGUCUCCCCGAACGCGAGCAGACAUCCGCCUAGUUGAACACCUACUGUGGGCAGACGGUGGAUUAGGCAAAGAAAGAAAUGGAGGCUCAGAAGAGUGAAGUCAUCCAUCCAGCCCAUAGAAUAGAUACGUGCCAGAGCCAGGGCUGCUGUAACCAAACAACCACAAAGUCGGGGGCUUCAAACAACAGAUGUGGAUUCUCUCACAGUUGUGGAGGUGGGGAGUCCAAAAGCAAGGUAUCAGCACGGUUUGUUUCCUCCAGAGCCUCUGGGAAAGAAUCCUCGCCUCUAUGCCUCACUUCUAGCUUCAGUGGCCGCCAGUAAAGCUGGAAGAAUUUUUCAAAUGGUUUUUGCGAGAAAGUUCAAACCCUGGAAUGACUAAGUCUCUGGAAGAAUUUGGACUUUGUGAGGGGAAUCUGUUGGUAUUUGGUAUGAAUCACCCAGUCACUGAUUUCUGCAGCAAAAAGAUCCUUUGGAAAGCUUUUAGGUCAGCCCCUUCAGUGUACACAUGGGGAAACUGAGGCUCGGGGAGGGAGAGGGGUUCAGCCAAGGCCACACUGCGUGUCAAUGGAAGAGAUGGGACUAGAAUGUCGAUCGGACUCCUGGAACCAGCUUCGGGUUUGCAAACAAGCUGUCAUGCACACAGUCUACAUUGAGGUGGGCACAGCUUCAAGAUCGGGAAAGGAACAGAAAGAGAAAGAGAGUUCUGAAGAGUCAUAAUUCAAAGCGUACAGGUUAAAAAAAAACAACGAAGAGUAUAGAUUUAGAAGGGGCAGAGAAGCGAGUAUGUGAAGGUACUCUACGUGCAUUACCCCUGUUUAAUCCUCGCCAGAUCCCAUGAGAGCAAUGGUUCUCAACUUGGGUUGAUUUCGCCCCCCAGGGAACUUUUGGCAAGGUCUGAAGACACUUUUGUUUGUCACAACUUAGGAAGGGGAUUUGCUACUUCAUCUCUCAGGUAGAGGCCAGGGAUGCCGCUAAAACUCACAAUGCACAAGGCAGCCCUCACAGCAAGUGUCCAUAGUCCCAGGGCUGGGAAGUGCCGUGGGGAGGACACUCACAUCUCUAUCUCCGUUUAAUGGCUGAGACAGCCUGAGGCUCAUGUGGUCUUGGGCAAAUUCCUUAACCUCCCUCUGCCUCAUUUUCCACAUUUAUAGCAUGGAGACAGCAGCACUAAUGUCAAGGAUUACGGUGAUUAAACGAAUUAAUAUUUGUAAAUCACUUAGAACAGUGCCUAGUACAUAUCAAGUAUUAUAUGAGUUUUUGCUAAAAAAGAAAAAAAGAAAAAGAAAAAGAAAAGAAAAGAAAUAAAUUGGCCCAGCACACGCAGAAAAUAAGUGGAAGAAUUGUAAUGAAAGCCUAGGGAACACUUAAGGGCAUGGGGGCUGGAAGAUGGGAGACCUUCCGGGGGUGCGGGGUUUUGUGAGCAGGUGAGGCACGUGCAUGGCCGUCCAGGUGACAUCUUACUUCCUCGUGACCGUGAGGUUUUCCUUCUCAAAACUGCCACCUUAAAUGCAACUUCACCUUUUCAUGUUAAAAUGACAUGCACUGUUAAACAGGAAUAUCUGAGGCAAGUCUGGCAUAGCGAGCCACUGCGAGCCAUCAGCAGCUGCCCAUGAUAAACUGGCUGAUGGGUUCCUUCUCGGCAAGCUGGGCUGCGGCUCCCCCCAGCAGGCCUGAACCACCAGUCAUGCCCCAAACCCACCGGCACCACCUGAAUCAGGCCUGCCUUCUGGACCAACCCCGCUCCCUACCCCGGCUUACACCCCACGCGAGGACCUGUGCCUGAUCCUCCCACCUUCGGCUCUGAUGGCCCCUUUACACAGCCUGGGGCCCAGUCCCCGCUUUUCCACUUUGACCCUCUAAUCCUGUCCUCAAUCGAGGGACAGAUUCCUCCACUGGCUCCUGAUACCCGCCAGCUCUCUGCGCGGUGACCAUGUGCGGGCCCCAAGGACUACCCGCUCAGCCCAACUCUCUCAGCGAGGGCUGGACUCUGGGACGGCCACUAGGCAUCCAUGUCUCCCCCCUGUCCGGGAUCCACCCUACGGGCCCAUUCCUUACGUCAACCAUUUACCGAGCAUUUUGAGGUAAGUGCCUUAUGUGUGUGCAAUAGUCCUCUCCAGCUGUGCCCCACUCUCCCAUCUGCAAAUCUCACCAGCCCAAAAUCAAAGUGUUGGCAGGUGAGCGUUUCCUUCUGGAGGCUCUAGAAAAGGAUAUAUUUAUUUCCUCGCCUUUUCCGCUUUCUAGAAACUGCUGACAUUCCUUGGUUCAUGGUCCCUUCCUCCAUUUUCAGAGCCAGCAACGUGACACUUCUCCGGCCCUAUUCCCAUUGUCAUCUCUUUCUCUGCCUCCCUCUUCC